GGAGGGUGUAGCUCAGUGGUAGAGCACGUGCUUAGCAUGCACGAGGUCCUGGGUUCAAUCCCCAGUGCCUCCA
rnacentral:tRNA from 1 species